rnacentral:rRNA from 1 species
UACGUAGGGGGCAAGCGUUGUCCGGAUUUAUUGGGCGUAAAGAGCGUGUAGGCGGCCUGAAAGGUCAGCUGUGAAAACUCGAGGCUCAACCUCGAGACGUCGGUUGAAACCAUCUGGCUAGAGUCCGGAAGAGGAGUGUGGAAUUCCCGGUGUAGCGGUGAAAUGCGCAGAUAUCGGGAAGAACACCCGAGGCGAAGGCGGCACUCUGGGACGGUACUGACGCUGAGACGCGAAAGCGUGGGGAGCGAACAGG